GCGGGCAGCAGCCUUGAGAAGAAAAGCCCCAUGUGUGGCGUCUGCCUGUUCUUAUGAUGUAAAUAUUUCCACCGUAAGUGAUUUCAAGCUACCAACUCACUGUGUGGUCAGGAAGAGAGUGCACAAUUGGCUGGAUGAGGGAAGAAGAGAGAGAGAGGCCACUUUCCUGAUGUGAGCAGGGAGCUGGGCGAGACCAAAUUAAACCAUAUGCUGCCACUCGGUUAGUUAUCAUCUUCACUGUUAUCUCC